rnacentral:rRNA from 1 species
CCCUUAGAUGUUCUGGGCCGCACGCGCGCUACACUGUUCGACGCAGCGAGUCUUAACCUUGACCGAAAGGUUUGGGUAAUCUUCAGCAAAGUCGAACGUGAUGGGGAUCGAUCAUUGCAAUUAUUGAUCGUGAACGAGGAAUUCCUAGUAAGUGCAAGUCAUCAGCUUGCGCUGAUUACGUCCCUGCCCUUUGUACACACCGCCCGUCGCUACGACCGACUGUUUCUGUCAAUGAAGCUGUAGGAUUCGGCCCUGGCCGGGGCGCAAGCCCUGGCUACGUGGUUGGAGAUCAUAGUUUAGUUGAUACGAAAUACAGGACGUAAAAGUCGUAACA